GAUCCUGGCUCAGGAUGAACGCUAGCUACAGGCUUAACACAUGCAAGUCGAGCGAAGCAGUUAAGUUGAUUUCUUCGGAUUGAUUCUUAACUGACUGAGCGGCGGACGGGUGAGUAACGCGUGGGUAACCUGCCUCAUACAGGGGGAUAACAGUUGGAAACGACUGCUAAUACCGCAUAAGCGCACAGUACCGCAUGGUACAGUGUGAAAAACUCCGGUGGUAUGAGAUGGACCCGCG
rnacentral:rRNA from 1 species